UACGAAGGGGGCUAGCGUUGCUCGGAAUCACUGGGCGUAAAGGGUGCGUAGGCGGGUCUUAAGUCAGGGGUGAAAUCCUGGAGCUCAACUCCAGAACUGCCUUUGAUACUGAGGAUCUUGAGUUCGGGAGAGGUGAGUGGAACUGCGAGUGUAGAGGUGAAAUUCGUAGAUAUUGCAAGAACACCAGUGGCGAAGGCGGCUCACUGGCCCGAUACUGACGCUGAGGCACGAAAGCGUGGGGAGCCAAACAGG
rnacentral:rRNA from 1 species